GAGUUUUGAUCCUGGCUCAGGGAUGAACGCUAGCUACAGGCUUAACACAUGCAAGUCGAGGGGCAGCACUUUAGUUUGCUUGCAAACUAAAGAUGGCGGCCGGCGCACGGGUGAGUAACACGUAUCCAACCUGCCGAUAACUCGGGGAUAGCCUUUCGAAAGAAAGAUUAAUAUCCGAUAGUAUAUUAAAACCGCAUGGUUUUACUAUUAAAGAAUUUCGGUUAUCGAUGGGGAUGCGUUCCAUUAGUUUGUUGGCGGGGUAACGGCCCACCAAGACUACGAUGGAUAGGGGUUCUGAGAGGAAGGUCCCCCACAUUGGAACUGAGACACGGUCCAAACUCCUACGGGAGGCAGCA
rnacentral:rRNA from 1 species